rnacentral:misc_RNA from 1 species
GAAAAGGGUCCUUUGGGGAAAAGUUUUCCCUUUGAUAAGAUGAAGCCGGGGAAGGUUUUCCGGUUUAUCCCGGAGGGCUUGUAGCUCAGUUGGUUAGAGCGCGCGCUUGAUAAGCGUGAGGUCGGAGGUUCAAGUCCUCCCAGGCCCACCAAUCAUUCUAUCAAUCUAUAAGCGCUUGUGGAAAUUGCUCAUAGAAAACUUUCUUUAUUCAUUUAUGAAAAAUCUCCUUAUAGAGAUAGAGAGAGACGCUUUUCCCUUUGGGUUUGAAAACUCAAGAUUACAGGUGUUAAAGUGGCUUUAAAGGAAAAGUGACAAAGAAUAAGGAAUAACGAUUUAAGUUAUCCCUUUUUGGUGAUCUUGAUUUGGGUGUUUUGAAUGCGUUAUGUUUUUUAGGGGGGCCGUAGCUCAGCUGGGAGAGCACCUGCUUUGCAAGCAGGGG